rnacentral:rRNA from 1 species
AUUGAACGCUGGCGGCAGGCCUAACACAUGCAAGUCGAGCGGAGCGGCGGACGGGUGAGUAAUGCCUAGGAAUCUGCCUGGUAGUGGGGGAUAACGUCCGGAAACGGGCGCUAAUACCGCAUACUAUCAGAUGAGCCUAGGUCGGAUUAGCUAGUUGGGGGGGUAAAGGCCUACCAAGGCGAAGAUCCGUAACUGGUCUGAGGGGAUGAUCAGUCACACUGUAACUGAGCACCGGUCCGGACCCCUACGUGAGGCAGCAGUGGGGAAUUUUGGACAAUGGGCGAAAGCCUGAUCCAGCCAUGCCGCGUGUGUGAAGAGGGUCUUCGGUUUGUAAAUCAUUUUAAGUUUGGAGGCGUUACCAACAGAAUACGCACCGGCUAACUUCGUGCCAGCAGCCGCGGUAAUU